CCAGCACUCAGGGAGCUUGGAAGAAGGGAGUAGCUCAGGAGGGAGCUGAGAAGAGAGGAUCUGAUAGGAGGAGGAUAAAGCUGCUCCCCAGCCCUCGAAGUGCCUGCUUGGAGGUGUGAAGGUAACAGAUGGUCAUUGUGACGUGAACGUUAUUCCAAUAUCCACAGAGGAGGAAAAAGGACCAGCGUGAUCCAAACUUACAGGCUGUGCUUCAAGCCAUUUCCACCAGCCAGGAUUUGAGCUCGCUGCUGCCAAGUCCCAAACCUUCUGAGGAUGGAGCAGAGGCAGAGGUGAGUGUUAGCCAUUCCUAGCACCAGUUUGGUGCAGGGCUGGUGCCCCAGGGAAGGUGGUCUCAGUCCAGCCAGCAGCGUGGGCAGGCUGAGUGGCAGGCAGCUUCCCCUAUAGAUUGUAAUGGUUUCAUUUUCACUGGGUUUCAGCACUUGGCAUUUUGGGCUGAAUUUCACGCCAAGUUUUAAAAUCCAAGAGGCCCACAGGCCUUGUGGACAUGCAAAACCACCAAUGUAAUGAAAAUUGGUUUAAAAUUGAUUUAGUUAAAAAGAAAAAAGGAAA